GCUCUCGUAGCUCAACCGGAAGAGCGCGCGGCUUCUACCCGCAGGGUUCGGGGUUCGAGUCCUCGCGAGAGCACCA
rnacentral:tRNA from 1 species